rnacentral:lncRNA from 1 species
UUUUUUUUUUUUUACCGAUUUCCUUUUAAAAACAACAAUUUAAACCCACAAGAUACAUCUCCCAGACUCGUACUCAAAGCACAAUCAACCAAUUUUACAGGUAAAGUUCGAGUUCAAUUUUAGAAAUCUCGCCUUUCUUCACCAAAUUCAAGUUUUACAUGCAUUUGCAUACGUAAAUUCAAUUUACAUGCAUUUGCAUACGUAAAUUCAAUCAAAAUAAUGCCAAAACCAGAAAAAUUAGGGACAAAAUGUCAUUCCAAACCUUCUCAAUUUGUGGAAAUUGCGCGCGCAUUAUGCGUAGAGCCACCAACGUAUCGCUGAAAGUAAGA